AACCUACAGCGUCCCGGAUUCUACCCAAGCACUCCGGGAGCUUCGGCUCUGGUCCUUUGGGGCUGAAAAACUACCCGAUGGGAAGAGGGCGCGCGACCCCAAGCUGCUUCUGAAGCGAAGGAGGCGUGCGCGACUCUGCUUCUGGCUUCUAGCCAGACUAUGGAAGGGCUUGGCAGUUGGUGCUAGAAAACGAGAGCGCCCCCGAGCUCAGAUAUUUAACCCCUCGAGAACCUGGGCAAGGCUCUUAACCACUGCCUGCCUCAGUUUCCUCAACUGCAAAAUUGGGGGGGGUGAUAAUUGCGCCGACCAGAUAGUGCUUUCAAACGCUUUGCGCCCCUGGCGCAGAGUAGGGUUAAGCGCCUACUGGAACUCCUGGAGGGGGUCAUGUUUAUGGAGCAGCCCCAAAGCCAGGGUCAUUGGAUCCAGUAGGACCUGGGGAGGGAGAAGAAUUCUGGGAAGCUCCGGGGGGUGGGGGGGAAGGCGGGUGAUGCCAAUAGAGCAUCUUGUGUUUGAACCUGGGGAUGAUGGGAAGCCCCUGGAGUUCACCGAGUAGAGAGGAGCUGGCUUGGCAGACUUUGAGCUUUAGCAAAAUCAUCGGAGACUGAAUGGAGGAUAAAGGGAAAUGGGGAGAGCCCUGAGGCAGGCAGUGGCCCAGGCGGGUCACCUGGGUGGAUUCUGUCGGAGAGAAGGGGGCGGGUGUGAAAGUUGCUGCAGGACCGACGAAACUGACCAAGGAUGCACUAAAGUGAAAUCCACAGGGGCGGAGCCAGGAGGUGAGAGUGGAGGCGGGGUGGGGGGGGUCCCAGCUCUACAGCAACAGGAUAGUGAAGCUUAGGGGAAGGAUAAUGGGUGAGAUGUAUUCUGAAAGGCAGUUGGAGAUGCGAGAUUAGAGCAGGAACAGCAGAGUUGAAUCGGCAGUUUAAAGCCAGCAACUCGACCCCAGGGAGCUGAGGAUUCCCAAGGAGUGUCUAGAGGGAGAAGGGGGUGGUUAGAGGGGCGCUGAGUGGGAGGAACAAGAGGCCGCCGGCUUGGGCAGAGCUGGAUGACAGUAAGCCGACCCCACAGUACCGUGUUACCGCCAUAAGUUAGGUGGUAGCAGCACCUUGACUUGGCUUCCUUCCUAAGCCCUUAAGAGGAAACCUACACAGGCAGGCCAUGGCUCGGGACAGGAAGAGGCUGUGAAGGGCUGGUUGGGGCUCUGGAAUUCCAUAAAUGUUUCAUUUAAACGUGUUAACAGAGAAAGCAACAGAACCAUGAAGUAGUCCGAGAAACCACUCUUUAAUCAAGAAAGGCCGGCAGGUGUCUACCUUUGGCAAGAAUUCCAACAAACCAACCAGGACCCCAUUUCCCCAAAGUCUUUCCAAUCUGGUGGGUCCUGAUGUAUUGCUUGUGGCGUCCUCUCUCCUGUGGACUCUCCUUUGGUACAAGAAGGCCUCAUUGCUGCAAAAGAAAACAAAGAGAAACCCAUAAACAUUCUCUAACAGGACUUGAUCGACUCCCCAUAUACGUACUCACUACAAGGAUUAUCCACGCUGCUAACCUUAAUCUGCACUCCAUGCUACUCAUUCCAAUAACGCCUACUGGAGCCCAAUUAUAAAGUUAUGGCAGCUGCACGCUUAAUCAGCAAGCUUGCCUUGCUCUACCAAAAUAAUCAGAAAAAACGCAAGCCUGCAACUACAGAAGCAUAAAGAAGUCCACGCCCCAGACUAUAACGUGGCCAAAAUUAAGAUACUGUCUAGCCCUGAGUACAAUUCUAACUAGAUAGUCAAUUAAUCAAUCACCCCCAAACCCCAUCAAGUGCCUUCGUGGCAAUGUCAGCCUUGAAACGAUUUAAACGUCAAACUGAAACGGUCUCCAAAUUCAAAUGAACUCCCACAAUUCUCCAGACUGAAAAUGCUUCCACCCUUCUCGAAUUCCAGAACUUCUCGGAGGUCCAGAUGCCAGGAUUUCAAGUCUGUUCCUACGUCUUUAACUUCUUAACUACCAUCAGGCUUUUGACUUCUAUGAACUGUUUUACUUUGUACGAAAGACAUCAUUUUGCUACUGAGUCAGCCAAAGCAAAAAGACGGGAGAUAAAAAUUAUUGUGAAAAUAAUUCUCUUGUUGGGGCAGUUGUGAGUACAUCUAUCUAUUCAUUAGCAAUAAGGACUCAUUUACCAGUGAACUUGGGCCUCCCCUAUAGGUGAUCUCAUUAGUAUUCCUAGGCACAAAGGUAUCCUACUUACCUCAUUAUUUCCUGCCUAUCAAAAUGAUAAACUUGGUACUGAGAAUCA